rnacentral:other from 1 species
UAAAUCCUGAGAUGUGCGCGAAGCUUAUAGUAUUCAACCUACAUUAGAUUUUCGGGAUUCGCAAUACUUCUAUGGAUGACGGACUCCAGUAAUUCACUUUAUGUGGCGGGAGAUGUCAAAAGUAGAAUGAGGGAAACCCACCUGCGAGAGGCAGGUAUGAAUUUAUAGGUGUGACGGCAUGUUGGGACAUAG